UACAGAGGUCUCAAGCGUUGUUCGGAUUCAUUGGGCGUAAAGGGUGCGUAGGUGGCGCCGUAAGUCGGGUGUGAAAUUUCGGAGCUUAACUCCGAAACUGCAUUCGAUACUGCGGUGCUUGAGGACUGGAGAGGAGACUGGAAUUCAUGGUGUAGCAGUGAAAUGCGUAGAGAUCAUGAGGAAGACCAGUGGCGAAGGCGGGUCUCUGGGACAGUUCCUGACGCUGAGGCACGAAGGCCAGGGGAGCAAACGGG
rnacentral:rRNA from 1 species